rnacentral:lncRNA from 1 species
GGAGCCGCGGGCCCGCACGUCAGGGAGAAGAAGAGAAGGAGGAGGCAGGCCGGGCGACGGUUUAGGUGGGCCGCGAGUCCAAGCCGGCCCAAGUGCUAGCACGAGAGAGGGGCCGGUGGGAGAAAACGACCCAGAGAGCCCACCAGAGGAGAGGGUAGGCCGGCGGGUGAGAUGAAUAGGAGAAGGGGUGGGUCCGAGCCACGGGCCCAGCGUAAGAGAGAGGGGGUAGAGUAGGGACGCG